CCUCAAGAUGAGAUUUCCACAUAGGGAGGUUAAAGAAGAUGACCUGGAUAGGUUGCAGGUGUAAAGGCAGUAAUGUCAAAGCCGAGCAAUACUAAUUACCCGAGAUCUUGACUUG
rnacentral:rRNA from 1 species